GGGCUGCUUGCUGAAGGUUCUGACUCAGUAGCCGAAGGCGAAGGCACUGUACUUGCAAGCAUAAGUAGUCAUGUAAGGGCAGCAGUUGCAACAUUAGGAGGUAAACAUGGUGCUGCUGGAAGAUCUGAUAAACGGCGACAUCUCUAUGCAGGAUUUACUGUCUGGUUGUCACAUAUUGAAGCAUCAGAUGAAGAUUCAGCAAGGGAGGAGACACACAGAAACAUCAAAGAUCGCAUAACUGCAUAUACCAAUGCAGAUGUGGUUGUGAAAUUAUAGGGAUGGGAUCCUGCUUAUGCUAAAAGUGUGGCACAGGGAUGUUUGAGUGCCCUAAAACAGUUAAUCCUAUCAAACAAGAAAC